AGCCUAAUGAAUAUUUAAUAUUAGGUAAAUUCUGCUCAAUGAUAUUAAAUAAAUAGCCGCAGUACUUUGACUGUGCGAAGGUAGCGUAAUAAAUUGGCUUAUAAUUGAAGUCGGGAAUGAAGGAAUACAUGAAUAUAAACUGUCUUAUAUAAAAUUAAACUAAUUUUCUAAAUAAGUGAAAAUUCUUAUAAAAUGUUUUAAUAGACGAGAAGACCCUUGAAAUUUUUACUAAAUAAUAUAAUAUGUUAAUAGUUUUUGUUGGGGCGACAGAUUUACAAAUAACUGAAUUUUUGUAAUAAUUUAUAAUACAAAUUUUAUUAAUUAAAAAUAAAUUACUCAAGGGAUAACAGCAUAAUUUAUAAAAAAGUUUGUGACCUCGAUGUUGGACUAGGAAAUUUUAAGUUUAGAAGAUUUAAAAUUAGGUUCUGUUCGAACUUUUAUUCUCCUACAUG
rnacentral:rRNA from 1 species